AGUGAACGCUGGCGGUAGGCCUAACACAUGCAAGUCGAACGGCAGCACAGUAAGAGCUUGCUCUUACGGGUGGCGAGUGGCGGACUGGUGAGGAAUACAUCGGAAUCUACUUUUUCGUGGGGGAUAACGUAGGGAAACUUACGCUAAUACCGCAUACGACCUACGGGUGAAAGCAGGGGAUCUUCGGACCUUGCGCGAUUGAAUGAGCCGAUGUCGGAUUAGCUAGUUGGCGGGGUAAAGGCCCACCAAGGCGACGAUCCGUAGCUGGUCUGAGAGGAUGAUCAGCCACACUGGAACUGAGACACGGUCCAGACUCCUACGGGAGGCAGCAGAGGGGAAUAUUGGACAAUGGGAGCAAGCCUGAUCCAGCCAUACCGCGUGGGUGAAGAAGGCCUUCGGGUUGUAAAGCCCUUUUGUUGGGAAAGAAAAGCAGCAGGUUAAUACCCCGCUGUUCUGACGGUACCCAAAGAAUAAGCACCGGCUAACUUCGUG
rnacentral:rRNA from 1 species